rnacentral:sRNA from 17 species
CAGGCUUGCCUUUCAGGCAUCCUCUCCCAAGACUUUCACGGGGCCGGCAGCAAUGCUGGCCCCAUUUUUUUGUUCAUG